UAGGAAAUUUGAGAGGGGCUGUCCUUAGUACGAGAGGACCGGGAUGGACGCACCGCUGGUGUACCAGUUGUUCCGCCAGGAGCAUCGCUGGGUAGCCAAGUGCGGAAGGGAUAAGCGCUGAAAGCAUCUAAGCGCGAAGCCUGCCUCAAGAUGAGAUUUCCCAAUUCGUAAGACCCCUGGAAGAACACCAGGUUGAUAGGCUCGGGGUGGAAGCGCGGCAACGUGUGCAGCUGACGAGUACUAAUCGGUCGAGGGCUUAUCCUAAA
rnacentral:rRNA from 1 species